CCCAGCACCGAACCUCGCACCUUCGGGUGUCGCGGAAUGUGGUGUUUAGGAGGACCGUGCGCGUCUGUCCGGUAUCGUCCAAGUCUCCAUGAAUGGGGCCAGCAACCCAGAGAGGGUGUCAGGCCCGUGGGACGAGCCGCGACCGUGUAUUGGGUCUCUCCUUAGAGUCGGGUUGCUUGAGAGUGCAGCCCUAAGCGGGAGGUAAACUCCUUCUAAGGCUAAAUACGGCCACGAGACCGAUAGCGAACAAGUACCGCGAGGGAAAGUUGAAAAGAACUUUGAAGAGAGAGUUCAAUAGUGCGUGAAACCGUUCAGGGGGUUAAACGGGUGGGCCCUCGAAGGUCGAACGCUCCCUACUCCUGUUCCUGUAGGCUGGCACGUGCUGCUUUCCGAUCUCGCUACGAGACGGGGCUUGGUGCGGUAUGCCGGACUGCAGGGGCCGUUAGUUAGGGGGCCAGUAGGACUCCGCAACCGUCUGGGUUUUAAGUCGUCAGAAGGGUUCUGGAGGAAGCCUCCUCUGGGGGUGAAAUCCGGGAUUCCGGGCGAUCUUCCCGGCCGUGAACCAGAAUUCCCCCGUCUGGCGUCUGGGACGAGUUUGUGCUGCGUUAAAAACAGUACGAGCUGUCGGUUCUGGGCGUCACCGUGGGGACACCGCGGAGAGUAGAGUCGGGUCCCACCCGACCCGUCUUGAAACACGGACCAAGGAGUCUAACAUGUGCGCGAGUCGUCGGGUACUAUUAAACCCGAAGGCGCAAUGAAAGUGAAGACUGUGCCUCGUCGCCGGUCUAGGGGAGAUCCCGUUCUGCUUCGGUAGCUCGGGCGCAUCCCCGGGGCGUCGAAGCCGCGUUGCCGGCUAGACGAACCAAGAGC
rnacentral:rRNA from 1 species